AACGAACGCUGGCGGCAUGCCUAACACAUGCAAGUCGAACGAGACCUUCGGGUCUAGUGGCGCACGGGUGCGUAACGCGUGGGAAUCUGCCCUUGGGUUCGGAAUAACAGUUAGAAAUGACUGCUAAUACCGGAUAAUGUCUUCGGACCAAAGAUUUAUCGCCCAGGGAUGAGCCCGCGUCGGAUUAGCUUGUUGGUGAGGUAAAAGCUCACCAAGGCGACGAUCCGUAGCUGGUCUGAGAGGAUGAUCAGCGACACUGGGCCUGAGACACGGCCCAGACUCCGACGGGAGGCAGCAGUGGGGAAUAUUGGACAAGGGGCGAAAGUCUGAUCCAGCAAGCCGCGUGAGUGAUGAAGGCCUUAGGGUUGUAAAGCUCUUUUACCUGGGAUGAUAAUGACAGUACCGGGAGAAUAAGCCCCGGCUAACUCCGUGCCAGCCGCCGCAGUAAAAC
rnacentral:rRNA from 1 species